rnacentral:lncRNA from 1 species
GCGGUAUAAAGUGAAUUUGCAGCAGAAACACCCUGCUAAGGAACAAGUGUCUUGAUUCUCAGCAAAGAGGACAAAGAAAAGCUGCAAGCUGUAAGGCUGGACUAUUUCCCUUAGCCCUGGGGAGAGGGAUUGACAGAAACAUCACUUAGAGAAUGGACAAAGUCCCGAAGUCACUGAGACAACCUUUAGCAGCCUACUACCUAGGAAGAGAUUCCACAGAGUCCUACAUUAUAAAAAUGCUGCAAAUGAAAACACGCUGCAAGAUAUCUGUAAAACCCUGAGCAUACCCUAUAGAAACUGUCAUCUAAAAAUCACCUAAGCUCUUGAAAGGCAGAGAUGCUUUAUCUCCAUCCAACCACCAUUCAUGGGAAGAAAACCACUGCAGUACUGCUGGAAGCCUUUUGCAUUGUUAAUCACAUCCUUCAGAAAGAUGUUUGUCCAACAUGAACAAAUGUCCAGCUGAACAAUACAGAAGACUAGACUCCAGUGGGUAAAAUCCAACUGUAAGCAGCCAGUAAUCUUGACUACACUAUCAUAUCGCUGUGAACAAAAUCAAGAGUCACAGCUUUGGAGAGAAAUCCACUGAAUCUCAGCAAAGAGCUGGUGCCUAAGAAUGCCUUGUUUAGAAGACCAGAGAUAAAACAGCUAUUAAUCAGGUAAGCCAUACUAAAGAAAUAUGUAUCUCCCACAUCCAUGUUUUUUGCAUGUUUUUCUAUCAUGUUUGUGUGCAAAUACACAUUUAUGGGUGCAUGAAUGCCAACUGUGCCAUUAAAGGUUUGUAAUUGCUGAUGGAAUAUUAGCUGAUGUUUAUUUUUAGAAACCAGUAAAAAAAAAAAAAGAGUUAAAAGUCAGCA